rnacentral:tRNA from 1 species
GCCCUUAUGGCACAAUGGCUAAGUGCUUGGCUGCUAACCAAAAGGUUGGUGGUUCAAAUCCACCAGAGGCU